rnacentral:rRNA from 1 species
GAUCCUGGCUCAGGACGAACGCUGGCGGCGCGCCUAACACAUGCAAGUCGAACGAGCGAGAGAGAGCUUGCUUUCUCGAGCGAGUGGCGAACGGUUGAGUAACGCGUGAGGAACCUGCCUCAAAGAGGGGGACAACAGUUGGAAACGACUGCUAAUACCGCAUAAGCCCACGACCCGGCAUCGGGUANAGGGAAAAGGAGCAAUCCGCUUUGAGAUGGCCUCGCGUCCGAUUAGCUAGUUGG